rnacentral:rRNA from 1 species
UGGGGAAUAUUGGACAAUGGAGGCAACUCUGAUCCAGCAAUUCUGUGUGUGUGAAGAAGGUUUUAGGACUGUAAAACACUUUUAGUAGGGAAGAAAAAAAUGACGGUACCUACAGAAGAAGCGACGGCUAAAUACGUGCCAGCAGCCGCGGUAAUACGUAUGUCGCGAGCGUUAUCCGGAAUUAUUGGGCUUAAAGGGCAUCUAGGCGGUUAAACAAGUUGAAGGUGAAAACCUGUGGCUCAACCAUAGGCUUGCCUACAAAACUGUAUAACUAGAGUACUGGAAAGGUAGGUGGAACUACACGAGUAGAGGUGAAAUUCGUAGAUAUGUGUAGGAAUGCCGAUGAUGAAGAUAACUCACUGGACAGCAACUGACGCUGAAGUGCGAAAGCUAGGGGAGCAAACAGG